UACGUAGGGGGCAAGCGUUGUCCGGAUUCAUUGGGCGUAAAGAGCGUGUAGGCGGCCAAGCAGGUCCGUUGUGAAAACUGGAGGCUUAACCUCCAGACGUCGACGGAAACCGCGUGGCUAGAGUCCGGAAGAGGAGAGUGGAAUUCCUGGUGUAGCGGUGAAAUGCGUAGAUAUCUGGAGGAACACCGGUGGCGAAGGCGGCAUCCUGGACCGGCAUUGACGCUGAGGCGCGAAAGCCAGGGGAGCAAAGCGGG
rnacentral:rRNA from 1 species